CCCAGCCAUGACCUCUUAUACACGCGUCGCAGCGCCGUCCAGCUACAGACGCCGUGCUCUCCGCGGCCCGUACACAUCGCUACGCCGCCAACCACACUCACGCAGAGAUGCUGCUGGUGGCGCUGUUGCUGUCGCUGCCCGCCGGCCCCGCCUCCUCCACUUCUUCGCCGCCGCCCCUGCCACCCACACCGCUGGUGGAGCUGGCGGGGUGCGGCGCUGCACGCGGCCUGCUCAUGACGUCACGAGGCGGCCGGCCCUUCGCGGCCUUCCUGGGGCUCCCGUACGCCAAGCCGCCCAUCGGCCCACUGCGAUUCAAGGCGCCCGUCCCAGCAGAGCCAUGGCAGGGUGAGCGCGAUGCGACGGUGGAGGCACCUAUGUGCACGCAGAAGAACUACUUCCUAGAGCAGCCCGUUGUGGUGGGGCAGGAAGACUGCCUCUACCUCAACGUCUACACGCCGCGACUCCCAAGCUCAGAGCGAGAGCAGGUGCAGCCGCUGCUGCCCGUGCUGGUGUACAUCCACGGCGGCGGCUGGUUCUCGGGCUCCUCCAGCCCACAGCUGGUGGGGCCGCAGCUGCUCAUGGACCGCGACAUCGUAGUCGUCACUCUCAACUACCGCCUGGGGCCGCUCGGCUUCCUGAGCACGGGCGACGCCGCGGCGCCGGGCAACUACGCACUCAAGGACCAGGUGCUGGCGCUGCGCUGGCUGCGCCGCCACGCGCCGGCCUUCGGCGGCGACCCGCGGGCCGUCACCGUCAGCGGGCAGAGCGCGGGCGCCGCCUCGGCGCACCUGCUGCUGCUGUCGCCCGUCUCCGCAGGCCUGUUCCAGCGGGUGAUCGCACAGAGUGGCAGCGCGCUGGACGCGUGGGCCCUGCCGGAGAGGGAGCCGGGGCGGCAGGCACGGCGGCACGCCGCUCUCGUCAACUGCAGCCGCGGCUCCUCCACAGAGCUGGUCGCCUGCCUCAGGGGCGUCGACCACCGCCUGCUGGUUGACACUACGGACAGCCUCAAGUUCUGGUCUGUGGAUCCCUUAACUUUCUAUCGCCCAGUCAUUGAUCCACCCAACAUCCCUAUGGAUGAAGUUUUUCUUCCAAAGGAUCCUAUAGAGAUUUUACGGCAUGCUAUUGAGGAUUAUGCUGAGGGCCGUCCUCCCCAUCAUUUCACAACCAUUCCAUUAAUGAUGGGAGUCGUCCGUGAUGAGGGAAUUUUGCGAGCUGUUCCUAUUCUAAAUAGUGCACAGCUCCUAGAAGACUUGAACACACGUAUUGAUGAACUGAUGCCUCAGCUUCUUGAACUCAACAGGAGCAUACCUCUAGAAAUAACUAACAGGGAGGAACAACUAAAUGAUGUCUACCGCUCUAUAAGUUCUCAAUUCUUUCCCAGUCAGCCACUUAGUCUAAAUGAUUCUACAAGAUUUAUAGAUCUCUACAGUGAUCGUGGUUUCUUCCAUGGACUGGAGAGAACUGCAGUAUACCACAGGCUAGCAGGACAUAUACAUCUGUUCAUCUAUAGCUUUGAGUAUCAAGGUUCACAGAGCUACACACCAAUCUUUGCAAAAACCAAUAUAAGAUAUGGAAUAUGCCAUUGCGAUGAUCUACUGUACCUGUUUUCUACUCAAGCAUUGUUUCCAUCUCUGUCAAAUGACAGCUUUGAUUGGAAUGUUGUCAAUGCAAUGACACAUUUAUGGACACAGUUUGCAGCUUUUGGGCACCCAGCACCACUGCAGCCUAGUGUCCUCCACAGCUUGCAGUCCCCACAUCAGUAUGAGAUUUGCUGGCAAGAUGUUGCUGAUAUUGUAUGGCCCCAAGCUGGACUUGGAGGAGACUGUGCUUCAGGAGGCUCCGCUGAUGUACCAUUCCUACAAAUUUCUGGAAAUGGAAUAUAUGCCGAGAGUCAACAUUUGCAGUUCUGUUCUCGUCAGACUUUUGGACAUGGUCGUUUGGCUUUUUGGAAUUCUCUACCACUGGUAGAGAACAGUAUCAGCAAGCCUGAUUACAAGGAAUUAGCACCCCAUUUGGUUCUCCUGUUGUCUACAGACAAUAUCCUGCCAGGCUACUGGUUCUGAAGAGAUGUUGCUGCCAAAGUGAACAUGACUGUAGGCCUGAAUUGAGGAAAACCCGGACUUUGAUGUUGCAUCAUGACAGUGCACCUGCAUCAUGUUCCUGUUGUGCCCCAUUCACUAUAUUCUCUGGAUCUGGUCUCAGCAGACUUUUUCCUGUUUGCAAGACUUGAGACUAUGAUGAAAAGACAACAUCGCCAAACCUAGAGGACAAUCCAGACAUUGUGAUAAGAGACCUGUGCACCAUCCAAAAGACACAUUCCAGGAGGCUCUCCAAAAGUGGAAGAAAUGAUUGCCAGUAGACAGGGCCAUUUUGAGGGAAACAGCACUUCAGAUGUUUUACAAUAAGCAAUAAAGGUGUUAUAUCAGAAGAUUAUUUUCUUUGUGAAAACACCUUGUACGCUAAAACAUCUUUUGACACAAAUAUAUAAUUUUUACAUUUUACAAAUUGUUCUUAUUAGAGUUUGUAUUUUCAGUAGAUACUUUAGACAAGAAACAGUCUUACAAUCUUUUGCAAAAAUGUACAACAAUAUACUUUUCAAACUUUUGACUCACAGUUUGUUCUUCAAACACUUCACUAACACACUUUAUUGUAGCUCAGCCUGCUCCUUGUUAUAGUCAGUGGUCACACAUGUAAAGAACAGACAAAAUAUUCUAUUGUAAUAUGCCAUUAAGUCUUGUGUCUAUACCUGUAACAAAAUGAUUUUUCAUUAAAUACAACAUCACCAUA
rnacentral:misc_RNA from 1 species